AACUCUAGCGUUGGGUCAGAGAAGAGUGCCCAUAUGUUGGACUUAUUAAUGGAGAGUGUUCAGGAUCUAAAGGUCAUCAUCGCAUUUGGGACUGGUGUGGUGCUGACUACAAUAAUCUGUGGUCUGACUCAACUCUGCUGCAGAGUCAAAAGAAGGAACUCUCUAAAUGUGUCUGACACACUGGAGAUGGUGAGCACCAAGGCAUUAAAAGUGAAUGAACAACAAGAGGAAGCUACUCAAACUCACGGAGGAGGAGCAGAGGAGGCUGAUGGGCCGUCAUGUAAGCCUGAGGUGGAGUACUCAGACAUUGAUUUUGCUGCUUUGAGGAAACGAGGUCCAGAAGGGGACAAAACACAGGAGACCGCAGAGAACGAAUACGCUGAAAUCAAAAGAGAAAUGACUGAGACCGAGCCAAGUCAAGAGGAGGAGC
ensembl:lncRNA